GACGAACGCUGGCGGCGUGCCUAAUACAUGCAAGUCGAACGAGAGCGACCGGUGCUUGCACUGGUCAAUCUAGUGGCGAACGGGUGAGUAACACGUGGGUAACCUGCCCAUCAGAGGGGGAUAACAUCCGGAAACGGAUGCUAAAACCGCAUAGGUCUUCGAACCGCAUGGUUUGAAGAGGAAAAGAGGCGCAAGCUUCUGCUGAUGGAUGGACCCGCGGUGCAUUAGCUAGUUGGUGAGGUAACGGCUCACCAAGGCCGUGAUGCAUAGCCGACCUGAGAGGGUGAUCGGCCACAUUGGGACUGAGACACGGCCCAAACUCCUACGGGAGGCAGCAGUAGGGAAUCUUCCGCAAUGGACGCAAGUCUGACGGAGCAACGCCGCGUGAGCGAAGAAGGUUUUCGGAUCGUAAAACUCUGUUGUUAGAGAAGAACAAGUGCUAGAGUAACUGUUAGCGCCUUGACGGUAGCUAACCAGAAAGCCACGGCUAACUACGUG
rnacentral:rRNA from 1 species